CUGUGUGUGCAGAUGUGUGUGUGUCUGUGUGCACAGAUGUGUGUGCAGACAUGCAUGUGUGUGCAGUUGUGUGUGUGCAGGAGUGUGUCUGUGCGCGCAGAUGUGUGUGGGACUCACACCUGAGCUGUUCGACGGGGCCACUCUUUGGAGACGAGGUCAGGAGCCAAUGAACUCACGGAGUAAUUGCAAGUUUCCCAAUCCUAUGAAUGAGGAAGCGGAGGAGGGAGGGGCAGGGAGGGCAUGAGGAGACACAGAACAGCUCUGAAGGGAGCUACCCAGACGCGGGAGUGUCCGAGAGAAAAGCAAGUGAAAGGAAAGGAAGCGGAUGCCGCGGGUUUACAGCAGGAAAAGCCGUGGAGACAGCCGAUUCGAGAAGCGGAGAUGCUUGCGUAGAACCCUCUCUUCCCUUCUCUCUGGCCAGCAGCAUGUUUCUCCUGGUCACAAGCCUUGUACUGUGUGAGCUGCUGCAGCCAGCAUUCCUCCUGAUCCCAGAGAAA